rnacentral:tmRNA from 1 species
UUUGGUUUCGACGGGGAUGUGGAAUCAGGAGUAGCGAGUCGUUGUGACCAAGCAACGUUAAAAGUGGCAAAAUAAAUUAAACGCAAACGAUAAUUACGCAUUAGCUGCUUAAUUAAAGUAGCUCGUCCUACCUAAGAAUCCCACGCCUUGGGAUAGGGCGCCAACUUAGUGGGGAACCGCACCUUGCAAAGCUUUGAGCUUGGGACGGAAAUUAUGAAGCUACUAAAGCUUGAACCUUGUCAGUAAGGGUCAAGUGGAGGGAAUGUCAAAUUACUGACUGCACUCGGAGAAACUCUUGUGGAAAUAUUUUCGGACGUGGGUUCGAUUCA